CACUCACUGAACCUCGGAGCUCAGAAGCUGUACAACUGUAAUACGAUUUCCAACUGGGUGGCAAGGAUUCGUUCUGUGGUUGUAUGGAUGAAGAGAUCCCACAUGGCCAAAGUAAUCCUCAAGGAGAAGCAAGAACUCCUCAAGCUGCCAAAGCACAUGCUCCUCUUGGAUGUGAAGAUGAGAUGGAACUCUCUGUUUUUGAUGAUGGAAAGAUUCUGUGAGCAGUUUUGUGCCAUCCAAGCUGCAGCUAUAGAACCACGGCUUAGAAAGCCCAUGGAAAAGGAGAAACUGGCCAAAAUGGGCAACGAGGACUUGAGGAAAGCAGAGGAGUUUGUGCUGCUGAU
ensembl:lncRNA